CCACCCUUACUUCGGCCUCCCGACUGCGCUCUGGUGACCUCACCCUUCGGCAUGACUCUAAAAUGAUUUAUGCAAUUUAAAAAAGUGUGGUGUGUUUAUUGACUCACCGCCCGAACCCCCGUCUGCGCUGUCCUUCCAUCCACCUUGCCAGGCUCUGGAGUAUCCGGUGGAUGCCGACUCCUGUCCGCGCUGGUCCCGCCUCAAGCCCGUAGGAGUAACACUCCU